CACGUAGGGUGCGAGCGUUGUCCGGAAUUAUUGGGCGUAAAGAGCUUGUAGGCGGUUUGUCGCGUCUGCUGUGAAAAUCCGGGGCUCAACCCCGGACUUGCAGUGGGUACGGGCAGACUAGAGUGUGGUAGGGGAGACUGGAAUUCCUGGUGUAGCGGUGAAAUGCGCAGAUAUCAGGAGGAACACCGAUGGCGAAGGCAGGUCUCUGGGCCACUACUGACGCUGAGAAGCGAAAGCGUGGGGAGCGAACAGG
rnacentral:rRNA from 1 species